rnacentral:tRNA from 21 species
CGCGGGGUAGAGCAGUUGGUAGCUCGCCGGGCUCAUAACCCGGAGGCCGCAGGUUCGAGUCCUGCCCCCGCAACCA